AAGGUAAACAUAAAGGUAGACAUAAAAGUAGGCAUAAAGGUAGACAUAAAGGUAGACAUAAAGGUAGACACAAAGUAGCAUAGCUGUAGGUUUCUUCCAUGCAAUGUAAAUGAAUUCAUUUGCUACACAGUAUGCCAUAUGUACAAUGUAAGUAGAAAUAUAAUUUAUGAAAGGUUGUACUCAAUGAAUAGAUCAGUAGUUAUUCAUUUA